ACAAUAGUUGUCAUUUUAAUUAUGCUGUUUGUCACUGAUUACCAUCUAAUGGUAAAGAAAUCCGAAGCUGAAGUGAAAAACCCCCCACUUAUAAUUGAUCUACAGACUGCUUGAAAUGAAUAGGAAGCUAAAGAAUCUCUUUCAAUUUUGGACUAUGCAUUAUUAUGAAAAUUCAACAUCUUUUUAUUCUUUUUUUGCACUGCUUUUUGUUUCUUUUUAUUUUGGAACUAUUUCAAUACACAACAAAAAUGGAGAUUGAUAAUAACAACUUUCAGAUACUGAUUUUUGAUUUACCGGUAUUUAUUGACAGAGGUUUUAGAUUAUAGAUUGAAUUUGGGCAUCUGAUAAUUAUGACUGUUGAUGUAAUAUACCUUUGUGUACACUUACAUGAAUAUUUGUCAAAGUUUGUUUUAUACACUGAAGUGUAGUGUAAUACAUGUAAUGUUAUAAGCUUGCAUUGAAGUGUAAUACAUUUACUGUUAAGAGUCUGUGUCUAUAAUACACUGAGGUGUAAUUACAUGCACAUGUUUUGUCAUAUCAAUACAACUGUAUUGGGAAAAAUGUUAAAGGAAUCUAUAAUGAAAUACUACCAGUGGCUGUUAAAUUGACAAUGAGACAGGGUUUUAAAAUAGUGUUCAGUUCUGUUAAACAGUACCUUACGAUGGAUGUCACGUGUAUCCACACUUGAUAUCCCGAUUUGUUAUGUAUUUUUUGUUUACCUAAUUAUUUUAAUGAUUGAAGUUUGUCUCUUUACUCCUCAGCAGUACUUGUUCAUCUGUGAUAAUAGCUUACAAAAACCAGCAAAGAUUUCACUGCUUUGCUACCUAUCAAUUUGAUACUUUAAAAAAAAAGGCUGGUUAAAUGUAUUAUAUGCAGUAUAUAGAAACAACUCUUGAUACAUGUAUUUGCUAGAUAUUGCUAAAGCUGGUUAACUGUAUAAUUUGCAGUAAAAAAAACAACUCUUGAUACAUGUAUUUGCUAUAGAUAUUGAUUUUCCCUCCACAACAUGGCAAAUUACAUUACCAAUAAAGGGCUCAUGUCAGUGUUUGCAAUUAAGCCCACCCCCUUCCCCUUCAAAGACAUACUCUCAAUAAUUUACUCAGUACAUAUCUAACUCUUCUGCCUCUCUAAACUGCUUUAAUGAAUAAAAAUGUAUAUUUACUUGUGCAUUAGUUGGCUCAACAUUUGAUGUUGUCUGUAUAGCAGUCCGAUUUUUAUAUUCAGUGGAUCUUUAUAAGUCUCAAUCUACAUGUAUUUAUUAAAACCAUUCAGUUUUUAUAACUUUACUGUAUGAAUAGUGUAAAUCUUUGAAUGUUACAUAAAAUGACUUAAAG
rnacentral:sRNA from 1 species